CUCUUUUGCUUCCCGAGAAAGGCUGUUCCAAAGUUUUGCCCCGCUGUACUUAAAGCUUUUUUUAGGAAUUCUCGUCUUGGUUUUAAGAGAGUUCUAGUUAAGAAUGUAACGAGUUCUAGUUAAGAAUGUAGUUCUAGGUAAGAAUGUAACUAAACAAUUAUUAUUUAAAACUAGAGUUGUAGGCCUUACUACCGGCCAUAAUAAAACUAUUAGCAAACCUACUUGUCCUAUGCUUUGGUAUUGAAAGACAGUUAUUAUUACGUAGAGAGUUUAUGGGAUGUUUCAUCACACAUUUGAUCGAAAAGUUUCUCGCAAAUGGUCUUUCUCCGCAGGAACAGUGACACCACCCCAGCACGUACCAACGCAUCUUCAUAUUUGAGGUCAGGAAAGAUUAUACGAAGGGCUCUGCGUUGAAUACUCUCGAUCUCGUCGCUCAAGUAUCGCGCCAAGCUAUAGUGCCAUACCCCACACGAAAAUUCUAAGAUUGGUCGAACGCAGGUAGUAUAAACCCGGACUAACUUGCCCGCUGGUAUAGAGGAUCUCUUAAGUAAUCGUAAGGCAUACAACCGCUUUGAAGCUUUCUUGCAGAUAUAAUCAACGUGCUCGAUCCAUUUAAGAUCUUUAGAGAUUAUGACACCAAGUAAUUUAGCAUGCGGGACCACGACUAUAUCGUGACCGUCAAUGGUGAUCGGCGGAAGAGCCACGGGAUCAAGAGGAGAAAACCCAACACGAACUUCUUUUGUUUUUGUAGGGUUCAGUUUCAUGUUAUUCUCAGAAGCCCAUGCAUUUAGUAGAUUCUGGGCUCUUGUGACGAACAGUUCCAAUAUUUCUCUUCCCUUGUCGAUGGUAUUGUUAGUGAUAAA